GACGAACGCUGGCGGCGUGCUUAACACAUGCAAGUCGAACGGAAAGGCCCUGCUUUUGUGGGGUGCUCGAGUGGCGAACGGGUGAGUAACACGUGAGUAACCUGCCCUUGACUUUGGGAUAACUUCAUGAAACUGGGGCUAAUACCGGAUAGGAGCUCCUGCUGCAUGGUGGGGGUUGGAAAGUUUCGGCGGUUGGGGAUGGACUCGCGGCUUAUCAGCUUGUUGGUGGGGUAGUGGCUUACCAAGGCUUUGACGGGUAGCCGGCCUGAGAGGGGGACCGGCCACAUUGGGCCUGAGAUACGGCCCAGACUCGUAUGGGAGGCAGCAGUGGGGAAGAUUGCACAGUGGGCGGAGGCCUGAUGCAGCCACGCCGCGUGCGGGAUGACGUCCUUCGGGUUGUAAACCGCUUUCGCCUGUGACGAAGCGUGAGUGACGGUAAUGGGUAAAGAAGCACCGGCUAACUACGUG
rnacentral:rRNA from 1 species